GACGAACGCUGGCGGCGUGCCUAAUACAUGCCAGUAGAACGCUGAAACUUGGUGCUUGCACCGAGCGGAUGAGUUGCGAACGGGUGAGUAGCGCGUAGGUAACCUGCCUGGUAGCGGGGGAUAACUAUUGGAAACGAUAGCUAAUACCGCAUAAGAGUAGAUGUUGCAUGACAUUUGCUUAAAAGGUGCAAUUGCACCACUACCAGAUGGACCUGCGUUGUAUUAGCUAGUUGGUGGGGUAACAGCUCACCAAGGCGACGAUACAUAGCCGACCUGAGAGGGUGAUCGGCCACACUGGGACUGAGACACGGCCCAGACUCCUACGGGAGGCAGCAGUAGGGAAUCCUCGGCAAUGGACGGAAGUCUGACCGAGCAACGCCGCGUGAGUGAAGAAGGUUUUCGGAUCGUAAAGCUCUGUUGUAAGAGAAGAACGAGUGUGAGAGUGGAAAGUUCACACUGUGACGGUAUCUUACCAGAAAGGGACGGCUAACUACGUG
rnacentral:rRNA from 1 species